GUAGGUGGCAAGCGUUGUCCGGAAUUAUUGGGCGUAAAGCGCGCGCAGGCGGUCCUUUAAGUCUGAUGUGAAAGCCCACGGCUCAACCGUGGAGGGUCAUUGGAAACUGGGGGGCUUGAGUACAGAAGAGGAAAGCGGAAUUCCACGUGUAGCGGUGAAAUGCGUAGAGAUGUGGAGGAACACCAGUGGCGAAGGCGGCUUUCUGGUCUGUAACUGACGCUGAGGCGCGAAAGCGUGGGGAGCAAACAGGAUUAGAUACCCUGGUAGUCCACGCCGUAAACGAUGAGUGCUAAGUGUUAGGGGGGUUUCCGCCCCCCUUAGUGCUGCAGCUAACGCAUUAAGCACUCCGCCUGGGAGUACGGCCGCAAGGUUG
rnacentral:rRNA from 1 species